CAGCAUGGUCGGCCUCACGCCUUCGGCCACGCCCCGUCCGGGGUCCUUCGUGAGCGUUGAUAUGAUUGGCCGGCCGCGCUCGGUCCUCUCUUCCUCCUCUGCACGUCGGGCGCCGCGCUCAUCAUGAAUGACACAGUGACCAUCCGGACCAGGAAGUUCAUGACAAACCGUCUGCUUCAGAGGAAACAGAUGGUGAGUCUCCUCUUUUUAGGUCAUCGAUGUUCUUCACCCUGGAAAGGCAACAGUACCAAAGACAGAAAUUCGGGAAAAGCUGGCCAAAAUGUACAAAACCACACCAGAUGUCAUCUUUGUAUUUGGAUUCAGAACCCACUUUGGUGGUGGCAAGACAACUGGCUUUGGCAUGAUCUAUGAUUCUUUAGAUUAUGCAA
rnacentral:lncRNA from 1 species